rnacentral:rRNA from 1 species
AAGACCUUGCGCUUUUGGAGCGGCCGAUGUCUGAUUAGCUAGUUGGUAGGGUAAUGGCCUACCAAAGCUUCGAUCAGUAGCUGGUCUGAGAGGACAACCAGCCACACUGGGACUGAGACACGGCCCAGACUCCUACGGGAGGCAGCAGUGGGGAAUUUUGGACAAUGGGCGCAAGCCUGAUCCAGCCAUGCCGCGUGAGUGAAGAAGGCCUUCGGGUUGUAAAGCUCUUUCAGCCGGGAAGAAAAGGCUACGACGAAUAAUCGUAGCUCAUGACGGUACCGGAAGAAGAAGCACCGGCUAACUACGUGCCAGCAGCCGCGGUAAUACGUAGGGUGCGAGCGUUAAUCGGAAUUACUGGGCGUAAAGGGUGCGCAGGCGGUUUUGUAAGUCAGAUGUGAAAUCCCCGGGCUUAACCUGGGAACU